CUUGCUCCACCGGAAAAAGAAGAGUGGCGAACGGGUGAGUAACACGUGGGUAACCUGCCCAUCAGAAGGGGAUAACACUUGGAAACAGGUGCUAAUACCGUAUAACAAUCGAAACCGCAUGGUUUUGAUUUGAAAGGCGCUUUCGGGUGUCGCUGAUGGAUGGACCCGCGGUGCAUUAGCUAGUUGGUGAGGUAACGGCUCACCAAGGCCACGAUGCAUAGCCGACCUGAGAGGGUGAUCGGCCACAUUGGGACUGAGACACGGCCCAAACUCAUACGGGAGGCAGCAGUAGGGAAUCUUCGGCAAUGGACGAAAGUCUGACCGAGCAACGCCGCGUGAGUGAAGAAGGUUUUCGGAUCGUAAAACUCUGUUGUUAGAGAAGAACAAGGAUGAGAGUAACUGUUCAUCCCUUGACGGUAUCUAACCAGAAAGCCACGGCUAACUACGUGCCAGCAGCCGCGGUAAUACGUAGGUGGCAAGCGUUGUCCGGAUUUAUUGGGCGUAAAGCGAGCGCAGGCGGUUUCUUAAGUCUGAUGUGAAAGCCCCCGGCUCAACCGGGGAGGGUCAUUGGAAACUGGGAGACUUGAGUGCAGAAGAGGAGAGUGGAAUUCCAUGUGUAGCGGUGAAAUGCGUAGAUAUAUGGAGGAACACCAGUGGCGAAGGCGGCUCUCUGGUCUGUAACUGACGCUGAGGCUCGAAAGCGUGGGGAGCAAACAGGAUUAGAUACCCUGGUAGUCCACGCCGUAAACGAUGAGUGCUAAGUGUUGGAGGGUUUCCGCCCUUCAGUGCUGCAGCUAACGCAUUAAGCACUCCGCCUGGGGAGUACGACCGCAAGGUUGAAACUCAAAGGAAUUGACGGGGGCCCGCACAAGCGGUGGAGCAUGUGGUUUAAUUCGAAGCAACGCGAAGAACCUUACCAGGUCUUGACAUCCUUUGACCACUCUAGAGAUAGAGCUUCCCCUUCGGGGGCAAAGUGACAGGUGGUGCAUGGUUGUCGUCAGCUCGUGUCGUGAGAUGUUGGGUUAAGUCCCGCAACGAGCGCAACCCUUAUUGUUAGUUGCCAUCAUUUAGUUGGGCACUCUAGCAAGACUGCCGGUGACAAACCGGAGGAAGGUGGGGAUGACGUCAAAUCAUCAUGCCCCUUAUGACCUGGGCUACACACGUGCUACAAUGGGAAGUACAACGAGUCGCGAAGUCGCGAGGCUAAGCUAAUCUCUUAAAGCUUCUCUCAGUUCGGAUUGUAGGCUGCAACUCGCCUACAUGAAGCCGGAAUCGCUAGUAAUCGCGGAUCAGCACGCCGCGGUGAAUACGUUCCCGGGCCUUGUACACACCGCCCGUCACACCACGAGAGUUUUAACACCCGAAGUCGGUGAGGUAACCUUUGAGCCA
rnacentral:rRNA from 1 species